GUGAAUGUGGAUGGGGAGACUCCUGCAGAUCUGGUGCAUCCCUUUUCCUGCAUCCAUGCUCUCCCUUUUCCUAGUAGUCCAUAAUUCUUCUGCAUUAGCAGCCCGUUUUCCCUGGUGGUGGUUGAUAACAGCCGCAGGAGUUAUGAAGCAAACCCAAACAGUGCUUUGCAACACUUAAAUGCAGUACUUUGCCUGUAUCUGAAGAGCUUACUCACUGGCCAGCCACGCUCAAGGGAUGCCACAGCUCCAGCCCACGGACCAGCAUUGCUUCCCUUCUCAUCUCCUGCUUUCCAAGUGCGUGUCUGCAGAGUGCCACGACAGCAUCGGUCUGUUUUGAUCACACUGAUGUUAAGCUGUUCUUCCAGCACCUUAGCAGGCACCCAGCCUUUAGAAGCUAUUUCGAACUGCUCCCACUGUGAACUGUGGGAGCAUAGAAAAGUAUAGCAGGUCCAGGCACAGUGCAGUAGUAGGCAGGCUGAGGAAGAGCAUGUGAAAGGCACACAAGGAGAGCACUGCAGCCUGCACAAGCCUGUAGAGGGAAAAAUGGUGGAAAAACAUGGUCAGUACCCCAAGACCAUAUAUCUGAAGAAACUGUAAAGAAUACUGGCAAGUAAAAAAAAAAAAAAAAAAAAAAAAAAAAAAAGCUAGAAAAUGUUUUGGUAUUUUAACUUGAUUGUCAGCAAGUGAUACUUAGGUUACUUGAUAAGUAGAAAUUAUAAUUUUUCAUUUUUUUAACCAACCAUUUAUCCAGUUUAUGUCCCAGCAUGCUUAACUUCAGACACUACUGGUAAACAAGAGUGUCAAUAAAAUAACUUAUGCUUGCUUUAGAGAUUUAAUUUUCUCCCUUUCUCUUUUCUCAGUGACCUGGAGCUCAUCCUUUAAACAUGCUUGGCUCCAAAAUACAAGACAAUUUAUUUUUCUGUCAAGAUAGUGAGGGAUUUAGAUAUGAAGUAAUAUACCCCCGUGCUUUACAGUUAAUACCAAUUUCCUGCUUUUUCUUGAUAUUUUGAUAUCUCUCCUCUCCAUGAUCAUCUCUGUAUGCAAGUUAGAAAAUAAAGUACCAACAUAAAGACAAGUUUU